UACGGGGGGGGCAAGCGUUGUUCGGAAUUACGGGGCGUAAAGGGCUCGUAGGCGGCCAACUAAGUCGGACGUGAAAUCCCUCGGCUUAACCGGGGAACUGCGUCCGAUACUGGAUGGCUUGAGUUUGGGAGAGGGAUGCGGAAUUCCAGGUGUAGCGGUGAAAUGCGUAGAUAUCUGGAGGAACACCGGUGGCGAAGGCGGCGUUCUGGACUGUUUCUGACACUGAAAAACGAAAGCCAGGGGAGCAAACGGG
rnacentral:rRNA from 1 species